GGAUAUAGUUUAAUGGUAAAAUUUCUCUUUGCCAAGGAAAAGACGCGGGUUCGAUUCCCGCUAUCCACC
rnacentral:tRNA from 1 species